rnacentral:rRNA from 1 species
CUACGGGACGCUGCAGUGAGGAAUAUUGCACAAUGGGGGGAACCCUGAUGCAGCAACGCCGCGUGGAGGAUGUCGCAUUUCGGUGUGUAAACUCCUUUUAUAUGUCAAGAAAAUGACGGUAGCAUAUGAAUAAGCACCGGCUAACUCCGUGCCAGCAGCCGCGGUAAUACGGAGGGUACAAGCGUUACUCGGAAUCACUGGGCGUAAAGGACGCGUAGGCGGGUUGGAAAGUCAGGUGUGAAAUCCUACAGCUUAACUGUAGAACUGCACUUGAAACUUCUAAUCUAGAGUAUGGGAGGGGGAGAUGGAAUUAGUGGUGUAGGGGUAAAAUCCGUAGAUAUCACUAGGAAUACCUAAAGCGAAGGCGAUCUCCUGGAACAUUACUGACGCUAAGGCGUGAAAGCGUGGGGAGCAAACAGGAUUAGAUACCCGAGUAGUC